CGGGGCGUAGCGCAGCCUGGUUAGCGCGCCACGUUCGGGUCGUGGAGGUCGGUGGUUCAAAUCCACUCGCCCCGACCC
rnacentral:tRNA from 1 species